GAUGAACGCUGGCGGCGUGCUUAACACAUGCAAGUCGAACGGAAAGGCCAGUGCUUGCACUGGUACUCGAGUGGCGAACGGGUGAGUAACACGUGGGUGAUCUGCCCUGCACUUCGGGAUAAGCCUGGGAAACUGGGUCUAAUACCGGAUAGGACAAUGGUUUGGAUGCCGUUGUGGAAAGUGUUUUCGGGGUGGGAUGAGCUCGCGGCCUAUCAGCUUGUUGGUGGGGUAAUGGCCUACCAAGGCGUCGUCGGGUAGCCGGCCUGUGAGGGUGUACGGCCACAUUGGGGCUUAGAUACGGCCCAGACUCCUCCGGGGGGCAGCAGUGGGGAAUAUUGUACAAUGGGCGCAAGCCGGAUGCGGCGACGCCGCGUGGGGGAUGACGGCCUUCGGGUUGUAAACUCCUUUCGCUAGGGACGAAGCGUAUUUGUGACGGUACCUGGAGAAGAAGCACCGGCUAACUACGUG
rnacentral:rRNA from 1 species